rnacentral:lncRNA from 10 species
GAGGGCUCCGCGCAUGCAGGAAGACCACCCUAAGGGAAGAAUCAUGGGAAAGAGAUGUCACAUGAAAGUCUGUAAAUAUGAACCACACUCUACUGCCCAGUGAUGGAGAAACCUACUGACUGUGGUGCGCAGAUUCCUAAGACGCCCUCAUGGUAUCCAUGUCCGCAUCAUCUCCUCCCCCUUGAGAGUGGGCUGAACCUGUGACUGGCCUCUAACCAACAGGCUAUCGUGAAGAGGGCCUGGAGGAGAGAGACCCUUCCUGCUGUCUUUGAAGCAGCAAGCCUCCAUCAGUUCUGCAGCUACAAGAAAAUGAGUUCUGCCAACAACCAAGUGAGCACUGAAGAGGACCCUGAGCAUCAGAGGACAGCCUAGCCCUGGCCAAUGCCUUCAUUGCAGCACUGUGAGACCCGAACAAAAGAUCCAGCUAAUGCAUGUUCAGAAUUCUGAUUCCAGGAAACUGUGGAAUAAUAAAUGCUCCUAUGUUAAGCUGCUAAGUGUGUGGUAAUGUUUUUACUCAGCAAUAGAAAACUACUGCUGGAUGGGCGCGGUGGCUUGUGCCUGUAAUCCCAGCACUUUGGGAGACCGAGGCACAUGGAUCACUUGAG